CUAGGGAGAUGCCAUGUCCUUGCCGGUAGAGAAGCUGUUGCAGUGAUCGCUGUGCCAGGAUUAACGCGAUUUUGCAGCCCACUUUUUGCGACCGAAUUAAUCUCCAGAGUCAGGGAAGAAGCAGCGGCAGAAGUGGCAGAAGGCAAGGAGGGACAUUUUGGGAAAGAGUGACACUCAAGGUUCCAACCACCCCUUGCUCAUACCAAUCUCCAACGCGGCCACCGCGGCCGCCGCCAGCAUCCACCACUGCUGCCCAGGCUAGUGUCACUGCUCUUCUGCAGUUGCAAAGAGUCAAUUUUUUUGGCUUUGCAGUGAAGCUCAAGGAAGUAUGAUGUCGGUUGUUGCUGUUGCAAUUGUUGGUGCUACCAAAUCCUCCCCCUGACCGGCCCUCCCCAUUUCAUUCCGUUCCGCUCUUUCUGUUCUGCAACAGACAAUUCCAUCACGCUCUUUCUCUUUCA